UACGUAGGGUGCGAGCGUUAAUCGGAUUUACUGGGCGUAAAGCGUGCGCAGGCGGUUUGCUAAGACAGGUGUGAAAUCCCCGGGCUUAACCUGGGAACUGCGCUUGUUACUGGCAGGCUUGAGUGUGGCAGAGGGGGGUGGAAUUCCACGUGUAGCAGUGAAAUGCGUAGAGAUGUGGAGGAACACCGAUGGCGAAGGCAGCCCCCUGGGCUAACACUGACGCUCAUGCACGAAAGCGUGGGGAGCAAACAGG
rnacentral:rRNA from 1 species